GACAGUGCAAAACAAGGCAAUACUAGCAAAUUUCAAAGUAACUAAUACGUUUAAUCAGAUGUCUCGAUGGGGUUCCGCCACARCACAGUAUAACAAAGCAAUGAUAGAAAUUAAGGUGAAAGGAAUGUUUCCUGCAGUUGAGUGUGCUAUGAUGGUAAAAUGUACCAGCAAAACCCGACCGUGCCACAAUUUUACGGAAGAUGGGCCUCCUCUUAAAUGUAAUCAAACWACCARUGUAACCUUUAACUAUGCACAUAUUGUGCUCCCUACAGGAAUGUUCUGGCUAUGCGGGGUAAAAGCUUACUCCUACAUUCCAGCCAAUGCUACUGGURGCCCCUGUACCAUAGGUCGCUUGAGCAUCUAUAUGCCAAGUAAACAAGAGAUAGAGGAAAUAGCUGGGAAYCAAACACGAAAGAGGAGGGAGGCCUCAUCCCUCAACCCUGAAUGUAAUUCAGAAGUAAUCUUAUUCUCAGCAUCACAAAUCUCAGCUGCAGCAUUCCUUACACCUGGGGUGGGAGUUGCUAUGAACUAUCAAGCUAUAAAAAAGABUGCAUGUUCUUUAGCUAAAACUAUCAACACCACUUCUGCUGCCUUAUCAGCAAUGCUUAGAGACRUGCAAGCCUUGCGUGCCGGUGUAUUAGAAAACAGAGCAGCAGUUGACUAUCUUCUUUUACGACACAACCAUGGAUGUGAAGAAUCCAAAGGCAUGUGCUGCUUCAACCUGAGUGACCAUUCGACCCUGAUUGAAGGGGAGAUCACAAACCUUAAACACCUAGCUUUGGACAUUAAACAGCAUAAUGAUAACGGGUUUAAUUGGCUGCAAAAAUUGUUCCAAAAUUUCGGACUGUCUGUAUCAGCUUGGCUCGCGUYGGGCUUACAAACUGUCAUAAUAAUUGUACUUAUGAUAAUCAUUAUAUGUAUUGCUUUUGUCUGCUUGAAAGCUUUAAUAUUASGCACAAUCUUUGCUAAGGUAAAUGCUUUAAACACAGGCUACUUGCCUUUGCAACAAGAUCAAACCCAUGAUUGUCCUUGAGGGGCAAAAAAAGGGGGGUGUACGGCUGUGACUCUGGUCACGGGGUGGACUGACGGGCGAGUGAAGAGUUAACAGGACUGAAGUUUGUCAAUUGAUAUGCAGAAGAACUGAUAGCACAAGAGCUGACCUGCGCAAAGCUGCUGAACAGAGGACUUAACAGGACUAAAGUCGUCUACCAACCGAUAUGCGCAAGGACUGAUAUGUAUAAGGCUGCGGAAUGGCAGCAUUAACAAGACUGAAGAGGUCUGCCACCUGGAAUCCGCACGGACCCCCGGGGAGGGAAGAAGC
rnacentral:lncRNA from 1 species